rnacentral:lncRNA from 1 species
AAACACGAUAAUUUUUUUUUCCUUUUCAAAACAACUAAACACAGUUUAAUACAUAACUUAGUCUUAAUUAAACAACCCGUUCCCGACAUAUAAUAAUAGUGUCUUACAUCAUCAUAAGCAAGUUUCCAAAAUAAGUACGCUCACUUAGACAAGUGGCGAAUAUAAGGUUUAAACAACAGAGUUUUCAGAAGGAAAAGAAACUCAGACAUAGUCCUCCAAAAAGGGAGAAGCAACUGCUUCAUCCACCUUUAUUCGACCGCCCACGGUCAUGGUCUCCAACUCGAACAGCUAAGCUUCAGCGGAAGGCUCUCCACCGCCU